GACGAACGCUGGCGGCGUGCUUAACACAUGCAAGUCGAACGGAAAGGCCCUGUUCUUGUGGGCUGCUCGAGUGGCGAACGGGUGUGUAACAUGUGAGUAACCUGCCCUUGACUUUGGGAUAACUUCAGGAACCUGGGGCUAAUACCGGAUAGGAGCUCCUGCUGCCUGGUGGGGGUUGGAAAGUUUCCGCGGUUGGGGAUGGACUCGCGGCUUAUCAGCUUGUUGGUGGGGUAGUGGCUUACCAAGGCUUUGACGGGUAGCCGGCCUGGGAGGGGGACCGGGCACAAGGGGACUAAGGUACGGACCAGAGUCGAACGGGAGACAACAGGGGGAAGUAUGACACAGUGGGGGGAAGCGUGAGGCGAAAGCGCCGCGGGCGGAAUGAAGGCUUGGGGGGAGUAAACCGCUUUGGGCUGUGACGAAGCGUGAGUGACGGUAAUGGGUAAAGAAGCACCGGCUAACUACGUG
rnacentral:rRNA from 1 species